UACGUAGGGGGCAAGCGUUGUCCGGAUUUAUUGGGCGUAAAGAGCGUGUAGGCGGCCAUACAGGUCAGCUGUGAAAACUCGAGGCUCAACCUCGAGACGUCGGUUGAAACCGUAUGGCUAGAGUCCGGAAGAGGAGAGUGGAAUUCCCGGUGUAGCGGUGAAAUGCGCAGAUAUCGGGAAGAACACCCGUGGCGAAAGCGGCUCACUGGACCAUAACUGACGCUGAUGCACGAAAGCUAGGGGAGCAAACAGG
rnacentral:rRNA from 1 species